rnacentral:rRNA from 1 species
AACGAACGCUGGCGGCAUGCCUAACACAUGCAAGUCGAACGAGACCUUCGGGUCUAGUGGCGCACGGGUGCGUACCGCGUGGGAACCUGCCCUUAGGUUCGCUAUAACUGCCCGAAAGGGGUCCUAAUACCGGAUAAUGUCUUACGACCUAAGAUUUCUCGCGUUUGGAUGGGCCCGCGUUGGAUUCGGUGGUUGGUAGGGUAAUAGCCUACCAUGGCGAGGUUCCAUAGCUGGUCUGAGAGGAGGACACACCACACUGGAGCUGAGACCCGGCCUAGAAUCCGACGGAAGGCAGGAGUGGAGAACAUUGGACGAGGGGGGAAGACGUAGUCCAGCAAUGCCGGGGAAGAGGGGAAGCCGUUAGGGUUGUAAAGUCGUUUGUCCCGAAGUGAUAAUGACGGUACUGGGUAAAUAAGCUCCGGCUAACUCCGUG